UUCGGGUGUCAGCGGCAGACGGGUGAGUAACACGUGGGAACGUACCCUUCGGUUCGGAAUAACGCUGGGAAACUAGCGCUAAUACCGGAUACGCCCUUAUGGGGAAAGGUUUACUGCCGAAGGAUCGGCCCGCGUCUGAUUAGCUAGUUGGUGGGGUAACGGCCUACCAAGGCGACGAUCAGUAGCUGGUCUGAGAGGAUGAUCAGCCACACUGGGACUGAGACACGGCCCAGACUCC
rnacentral:rRNA from 1 species